rnacentral:tRNA from 1 species
GAAAAUUUAGUUAAAGUAUAACAUCAAUUUGUCAAAUUGAAAUUAAUUUAAAUAUUAAUUUUUA